UGAUAUCUUUUCCUUUUCUCUCUGUUCGGUCACUUUCAUCAUCGGCAAGUGUGGAUCUGCUAAGCUGCAGCUCACCACCAUCAUCGUUGUCUUCAUCAUCCUCUUCUCUGUCAAUUCAUUCCCACAAAUCAAGCAUGCACCGAAGUUUGUAGUUUUGAGAGGGUCCUCUGCUCAUUUCAAUCUUAUCGAAGUAUAUGAAGGAUUCAAGCUCUAAUCCCUCUAAUCCCUCUAAUCCUUUCUGUUUGGGUAAGCUAAUUUAAACUCUUCAAAGACCCAAUUCGUUUCUUCCCCAAAUUUUCCUAUAAAUUGCAUCUAAUUUCAGCUUUCUUUCUCAUUGUUUUGCCUUUAUUUCUGGAAAUAUAAUCUUGUUGACAUCUCAUUCUAAUUUCCAAAUCAAGUGAAGACUAGGGAAAGGCAAACAAUAACAUUUAGUUUCUGGAAGAGAAAGCCAACGUCUUGAAGCCAGAAACCAUCGACUUUCCAAUCUUCUUUCCUGAAAAUUCUGCCGAGCUAGAAAUUUCCAGAUUUUAGCCGGACUAUGUACUGGUUUUACGGCGGAGAUGAACAGGAUAAAUUCGUGGGUUUUACUUUUACAAAGGAUCACAGCAUUAUUUGGAGUUGGAGUAUCAAGGCUUGGGGCGUAGACUUUCGGUUCUUCGAGUAAGGUACCCCCGAGCAUACUCUAGAGGACUUGGAUUAGGUGCUAGUGACCCGGAAGCUCUUGCUUUCAGUCUUUGUUUUCGAGGAGUCCAUCUCCGGUGUGGUUUUCUUCUUUUGUAGUCUCUGAAGUCUUUCUUUGUAUUAUAUUCUCGCACUCUUGACUUUGUUGUGUGUUACCUUUUGUUUGGGUUGUUUGUUUCUUUCUGUUUGAAUAAUGCGAGAACUUUAAAUCCGCACUUUGUCAUGCUACCUUCCGUUUGUAAUAUAUAUGGGUUGUGAAGUUUGUACU